rnacentral:sRNA from 1 species
AUGGCUGUCGUCAGCUCGUGUCGUGAGAUGUUGCGUUAAGUCGCGCAACGAGCGCAACCCUUGUCUUGUGUUGCCAGCGCGUAAUGACGGGGACUCGCAAGAGACUGCCGGGGUCAACUCGGAGGAAGGUGGGGACGACGUCAAGUCAUCAUGCCCCUUAUGUCUAGGGCUGCAAACAUGCUACAAUGGCCGGUACAACGGGCUGCGACACUGCGAAGUGAAGCGAAUCCCUUAAAGCCGGUCUCAGUUCGGAUUGGAGUCUGCAACUCGACUCCAUGAAGUCGGAGUCGCUAGUAAUCCCGGAUCAGCAACGCCGGGGUGAAUACGUUCCCGGGCCUUGUACACACCGCCCGUCACACCACGAAAGUUGGUAACGCCCGAAGCCGGUGGCCUAACCCUUUUGGGAGGGAGCCGUCGAAGGUGGGGCUCGCGAUUGGGGUGAAGUCGUAACAAGGUAGCCGUACCGGAAGGUGCGGCUGGAUCACCUCCUUUCUAAGGAGCCUUUGGCACCAUUCGGGUCGAUCCGGCAACUGUUCGGAUCGCGCGCCCGAAAGACUCCAGGUCGAUGCACUGGCCCCCGUCGGUAACUUGCGGCGGGACACACUGUUCAGCUUUGAGGGUGCGAGCCCUCUUGGAACCUUGAGAACUCGAUAGCGAGCGCGAGCAUCUACAGUCAAGUUAUAAAGGGCUUACGGUGGAUGCCUAGGCGCCAGGAGCCGAUGAAGGACGUGGCAGGCUGCGAAAAGCUCCGGGGAGUCGCGAGCAGACUUUGAUCCGGAGAUGUCCGAAUGGGGAAACCCGG